UCACGCCCGGUCGUACUCAUAAC
rnacentral:snRNA from 1 species